GCAAGUCUGGUGCCAGCAGCCGCGGUAAUUCCAGCUCCAAUAGCGUAUAUUAAUUUUGUUGCGGUUAAAAAGCUCGUAGUUGGAUCUCGGUUUCGGGCGAGCGGUGUACCUCGGUAUUUACUGUUUGCCCGGACGAUUUUGUUGGUUCGUUUAUGGUUCUCUUAACCGAGUGCCAUAAGUGGCCAGCACGUUUACUUUGAAAAAAUUGGAGUGCUCAAAGCAGGCUACAGCCUGAACAUUAGUGCAUGGAAUAAUGGAAUAGGAUCUCGGUUCUAUUUCGUUGGCUUUCGGAGUCGAGGUAAUGAUUAAUAGGGACAGACGGGGGCAUUCGUACUGCGACGUUAGAGGUGAAAUUCUUGGAUCGUCGCAAGACGAACUACUGCGAAAGCAUUUGCCAAGAAUGUUUUCAUUAAUCAAGAACGAAAGU
rnacentral:rRNA from 1 species